rnacentral:misc_RNA from 1 species
AAGUCGUAACAAGGUUUCCGUAGGUGAACCUGCGGAAGGAUCAUUAACACGUAUCCAACGUUAAACAACCCUGUGAACCUUGAACGUGCUCCUGCAGCCCCAUGAAAUCAAUCCCUGGUAAAUCAUUGUUGACCAGCUUUUGAGUCAGGGACCUCUGCCGAAACGGCUGUUCAGUACCGAGCGCGGUGUAAGAGUGUCUGAAAGUGUCAUUGAUUGUGUAAGGAUGGCGCAGUAAACGAUUGCUAGAGGCCCACACGGCCGGCAACCAGGUCCCAGGGCUCACGCCCCUUUAUCACCCCACAGUUUCCGACUGGGCAGCCGAUAAUACGGACACCGUAAAAAACUGAACAACUGUUAACAAUGGAUAUCUUGGUUCUC